rnacentral:lncRNA from 1 species
AAAGAGUGGGAGACCAUGAAAUGAAUUGUGGGGUUUAGAGUUGGAGUUAGACAUAUUAGCUUAAAGAGACCAGUAUUCUAAUUAAUCUGUGGCAGAAGAAAAAGUUAGGUCGAUGCAUGUUCUAAAUGAUAAGAAAUUUGGUUUAGUCGAGUCACAGUCGAAAUCCGUAGGCGUUAUAUCUGUACGCUUUAAGUAAAUUAGUUGUAUCUUUCUAAUAACUCAAGAAUUAAUAAUUAGCGCCAACAAUCCUACGGUUAUAAUUAGAUCGAGAGAUAGAAGAAGCAAAAUAAUGUGA